GACGAACGCUGGCGGCGUGCCUAAUACAUGCAAGUAGGACGCAGUUGCGAACGGGUGAGUAACGCGUAGGUAACUACCUAUUAGAGGGGGAUAACUAUUGGAAACGAUAGCUAAUACCGCAUACUAGUAGAUGGAUCUGCGUUGUAUUAGCUAGUAGGUAGGUGAAUGGGCUACCUAGGCAACGAUACAUAGCCGACCUGAGAGGCUGAACUGCCACAAUGUGAGUGAGAGACGGGCCAGACUCCUACGGGAGUCAGCAGUAGGGAAUCUUCGGCAAUGGGGGUAAGCCUUAGCGAGCAACGCCGCGAGAUGUAAGAAGGUUUUCGGAUCGUAAAGCUCUGUUGUUAAGGAAGCGGUACUUAACCAGAAAGGGACGGCUAACUACGUGCCAGCAGCCGCGGUAAUAC
rnacentral:rRNA from 1 species